CUCAGCUCAUUUAGAACCAUGUUCAUCAGUAUGACUGACUGGAAUCACAGCUGGACUCAGUUUGGUUCUUUGAGUUUCUACUUUGGAAGCUGAACUUUAAAUAAAUAUAGAUUUUACUACUGAGAAACAUGCAGUUAUUCAGAAGCGGAGCAGUUUAGAACUGUUUGACAAUGAUCUAAUUCUGCACAUGGUUAGGGUUUUCUCACUUCUCUUGUUUACUCUAUUUUCUGGCCAUGAAGGACUUUAGAAAUAAUUUUAGUAAAAUCUUAAAACUGCCGCUGUAGUCUCGAUAGAAUGAGAGCAACGAGUUCAUUUUUAUUGGUUUUAGUUGGGAAUCUUUAAAUCUGCUGAAAGACAAGAGCAGACACAAGAUGUGAGUAAAAUAAUUCAACGAGAAACUGGGCAGCUUCCAGAAAAAUCUACAUUUUGAUUAGACUUUAAUUCGACCAAUGUAGGCAGAGUCAGUUUCCUGAAUCAGAAGUAUGUUCAGUUUUUAUGACCCACAGUCAAUGUAGCCACCAGUUCAAAAACUAAAUCCUGAAUGUCCAGUUUUCUGUAACCACAAACCAGGAGGUUAAUGCUAACUAACAGAGCUUAAAGUAGGGAAACAUCAGGAGCUGGUUCAUCCUGGAGACACUGAAUCCUGUAGAACAUCAUUAACUAAUUAACCAGCCAGGUUUCUGAAGCAGCCCAGCUUCACUAACUACUAUCUGAAGUCUUAGAAUUAGGUUGUGUUUGUGUUCCUUCAUCUAGAAAUUAGUCGCUGUAAGACGUAGUUUGUGUAGAAGAUGUUUGAUGUUUUAAAAUCCUCCCGAAUGUUAAGGGAAAAGAGAAUUUACUGAUUUUCUGAGUCCUGGAAACCGGCUGGAUGCAUUUAAAGGCCUGUUUCCUUUAAAAAAAUCACCAAAAUGACACAAGAAGUAGUAAAAACAGAAAGAAAACACGACAAUCUGCCCGAAAAAUUAAAGAAAUCUGAGCUGAAAACUGCAGUAUUUCAUCAGAAUCGUUUUAUUCUAUGCAUCUCAUUACAAAAGAACUUGUUUCCUCAAAGUAGAUGCUGUUAAAAACGCUUCUGUGCAGUCGGACACGAACUGACACACAUCUUAAUUAUCACCGUUUCAAACUACACUGCCUGCAGUUCAACCCUAAAACUCUCAGAAUUUUUGUCAUCUGACUGUAAGUCUCAGCUGAGUCACUCUCAUCCUCUCAGUUGUACCGAGGAGUUCAGAAUUUUUAGUUCUUUACAUAAUUUUGUUCAAGCAAAGGGUUGAUUGAUGAUAAGUUCAAGGACCGUCAGAAAAACCAAUUAACAGGAAAUGAUGUACCAAUGUAUACAGUAAAGGACAAACAUUUUCUGUUAAUUUGCAUUUUUUGUUUUGUAAAAUUAAUUAUUAGCAUUUUUAUGUAUUUAUUAAUUGAUUUAAUUUAUUGAUGAAAAUCCAUCAUUUCCUUCUGUUUUUUAUGUUCAUGAAUUGUGUCUUUUUGGUGAUGUUUGUUGUCUGUUUUUAAACUCCACAGCAGGUCAGGUGAUUAAAUAACCUGCAGCUGUUUCCUAACAUCCCAUAAUGUUGAGAUUUAUUAUAAAAUGAUAUGAAUUCAUACAGUUUCCUGUCGAUCAGAUUCCUGACUUCCUGAAGUUUGUUUCCUGACUUCCUGUGAUUUGUUUCCUGACUUCCUGUAGUUUGUUUCCUGACUUCCUGUGAUUUGUUUCCUGACUUCCUGUAUUUGUUUCCUGACUUCCUGUGAUUUGUUUCCUGGCUUCCGGUGAUUUGUUUCCUGACUUCCUGUACUUUGUUUCCUGACUUCCUGUGAUUUGUUUCCUGACUUCCUGUAGUUUGUUUCCUGACUUCCUGUGGUUUGUUUCCUGACUUCCUGUGGUUUGUUUCCUGACUUCCUGUAGUUAGUUCAUACAUUUUUAAAUUUUAGAUAUGCAUGAUUUUGUUGGUAUAUACAAUUUUACCUUUUUUCAAAUAUCUAACAAUAAAAAC
ensembl:lncRNA